ACAUGUGGAGCGCUUAGAAGUGAGAAUGCCGGUGUGAGUAGCGAAAGACGGGUGAGAAUCCCGUCCACCGAUUGACUAAGGUUUCCAGAGGAAGGCUCGUCCGCUCUGGGUUAGUCGGGUCCUAAGCUGAGGCCGACAGGCGUAGGCGAUGGAUAACAGGUUGAUAUUCCUGUACCACCUAUAAUCGUUUUAAUCGAUGGGGGGACGCAGUAGGAUAGGCGAAGCGUGCGAUUGGAUUGCACGUCUAAGCAGUAAGGCUGAGUAUUAGGCAAAUCCGGUACUCGUUAAGGCUGAGCUGUGAUGGGGAGAAGACAUUGUGUCUUCGAGUCGUUGAUUUCACACUGCCGAGAAAAGCCUCUAGAUAGAAAAUAGGCGCCCGUACCGCAAACCGACACAGGUAGUCAAGAUGAGAAUUCUAAGGUGAGCGAGCGAACUCUCGUUAAGGAACUCGGCAAAAUGACCCCGUAACUUCGGGAGAAGGGGUGCUCUUUAGGGUUAACGCCCAGAAGAGCCGCAGUGAAUAGGCCCAAGCGACUGUUUAUCAAAAACACAGGUCUCUGCUAAACCGUAAGGUGAUGUAUAGGGGCUGACGCCUGCCCGGUGCUGGAAGGUUAAGAGGAGUGGUUAGCUUCUGCGAAGCUACGAAUCGAAGCCCCAGUAAACGGCGGCCGUAACUAUAACGGUCCUAAGGUAGCGAAAUUCCUUGUCGGGUAAGUUCCGACCCGCACGAAAGGCGUAACGAUUUGGGCACUGUCUCAACGAGAGACUCGGUGAAAUCAUAGUACCUGUGAAGAUGCAGGUUACCCGCGACAGGACGGAAAGACCCCGUGGAGCUUUACUGUAGCCUGAUAUUGAAAUUCGGCACAGCUUGUACAGGAUAGGUAGGAGCCUUUGAAACGUGAGCGCUAGCUUACGUGGAGGCGCUGGUGGGAUACUACCCUAGCUGUGUUGGCUUUCUAACCCGCACCACUUAUCGUGGUGGGAGACAGUGUCAGGCGGGCAGUUUGACUGGGGCGGUCGCCUCCUAAAAGGUAACGGAGGCGCUCAAAGGUUCCCUCAGAAUGGUUGGAAAUCAUUCAUAGAGUGUAAAGGCAUAAGGGAGCUUGACUGCGAGACCUACAAGUCGAGCAGGGUCGAAAGACGGACUUAGUGAUCCGGUGGUUCCGCAUGGAAGGGCCAUCGCUCAACGGAUAAAAGCUACCCCGGGGAUAACAGGCUUAUCUCCCCCAAGAGUUCACAUCGACGGGGAGGUUUGGCACCUCGAUGUCGGCUCAUCGCAUCCUGGGGCUGUAGUCGGUCCCAAGGGUUGGGCUGUUCGCCCAUUAAAGCGGUACGCGAGCUGGGUUCAGAACGUCGUGAGACAGUUCGGUCCCUAUCCGUCGUGGGCGUAGGAAAUUUGAGAGGAGCUGUCCUUAGUACGAGAGGACCGGGAUGGACAUACCUCUGGUGUACCAGUUGUCGUGCCAACGGCAUAGCUGGGUAGCUAUGUGUGGACGGGAUAAGUGCUGAAAGCAUCUAAGCAUGAAGCCCCCCUCAAGAUGAGAUUUCCC
rnacentral:rRNA from 1 species